rnacentral:rRNA from 1 species
CCUCGGGUGGCAGCAGUAGGGAAUAUUGCUCAAUGGGGGAAACCCUGAAGCAGCAACGCCGCGUGGAGGAUGAAGGUUUUCGUAUUGUAAACUCCUUUUUUUAGGGAAGAUAAUGCCGGUCUCUAACGCAUAACCACCUGCUAACUCCGUGCCAGCAUCCGCGGUAAUACGGAGGGUGCAAGCGUUCCUCGGAAUCACUGGGUGUAAAGAGCGCGUAGGCGGGAUAGCAAGUCAGAUGUGAAAUCCUAUGGCUUAACCAUAGAACUGCAUUUGAAACUGUUAUUCUAGAGUAUGGGAGAGGUAGGUGGAAUUCUUGGUGUAGGGGUAAAAUCCGUAGAGAUCAAGAGGAAUACUCAUUGCGAAGGCGACCUGCUAGAACAUAACUGACGCUGAUGCGCGAAAGCGUGGGGAGCAAACAGGAUUAGAUACCCCUGUAGUC